GACGAACGCGGCGGCGUGCUUAACACAUGCAAGUCGAACGAAGAGAGAUGGAAGCUUGCUUCUAUGGAUCUUAGUGGCGAACGGGUGAGUAACGCGUAAUCAACCUGCCCUUCAGAGGGGGACAACAGUUGGAAACGACUGCUAAUACCGCAUACGAUCCAAUCUGGCAUCGAGAGUGGAUGAAAGGUGGCCUCUAUUUAUAAGCUAUCACUGAAGGAGGGGAUUGCGUCUGAUUAGCUAGUUGGAGGGGUAACGGCCCACCAAGGCGAUGAUCAGUAGCCGGUCUGAGAGGAUGAACGGCCACAUUGGGACUGAGACACGGCCCAGACUCCUACAGGAGGCAGCAGUGGGGAAUCUUCCGCAAUGGACGAAAGUCUGACGGAGCAACGCCGCAUGAGUGAUGACGGCCUUCGGGUUGUAAAGCUCUGUUAAUCGGGACGAAUGGUUCUUGUGCAAAUAGUGCGAGGA
rnacentral:rRNA from 1 species